GAUGAAGAACGUAGCGAAAUGCGAUACGUAAUGUGAAUUGCAGAAUUCAGUGAAUCAUCGAAUCUUUGAACGCACAUUGCGCUCUCUGGUAUUCCGGAGAGCAUGCUUGUUUGAGUAUCAGUAAACACCUCAACUCCUUUAUUGUAGUUGACUUGAGCUAUCCCAACAGGACUUUUUGUUCCUGGCGGGAGGCUUGAAAUGCAGGUGCAGCUGGACUUUCUUCUGAGCUAUAAGCAUAUUUAUUUAAUCCCUUAACACGGAUUAUUACUUUUUUGCUGCAGCUAACAUAAAGGUUGAAUUUCCAUUGAGCUGACUGAUGCAGGAAUUUGGCAAGGAAUUUUUUUAAUGACUUGUUAAACUCGAUCUCAAAUCAAGUAAGACUACCCGCUGAACUUAAGCAUAUCAAUAAGCGGAGGA
rnacentral:misc_RNA from 1 species